GUUGGGUAGGGGAGCGUUCUGUAAGCCUGCGAAGGUGUACUGUGAGGUAUGCUGGAGGUAUCAGAAGUGCGAAUGCUGACAUAAGUAACGAUAAUGCGGGUGAAAAACCCGCACGCCGGAAGACCAAGGGUUCCUGUCCAACGUUAAUCGGGGCAGGGUGAGUCGACCCCUAAGGCGAGGCUGAAAAGCGUAGUCGAUGGGAAACGGGUUAAUAUUCCCGUACUGGUGGUAACUGCGAUGGGGGAACGGAGAAGGCUAGGUUGUCCGGGCGACGGUCGUCCCGGUUCAAGCAGGUAGGCAGAGUGAUUAGGCAAAUCCGGUCACUUAAUGCUGAGAUGUGAUGACGAACCACCAAGGUGGUGAAGCAAUUGAUGCCCCGCUUCCAGGAAAAGCCUCUAAGCUUCAGGUUACCAACAAUCGUACCCCAAACCGACACAGGUGGUCAGGUAGAGAAUACUCAGGCGCUUGAGAGAACUCGGGUGAAGGAACUAGGCAAAAUGGUGCCGUAACUUCGGGAGAAGGCACGCUGGCGGUAGGUAAAGUCCCUCGCGGACGGCGCUGAAGCCAGUCGAAGAUACCAGCUGGCUGCAACUGUUUAUUAAAAACACAGCACUGUGCAAACACGAAAGUGGACGUAUACGGUGUGACGCCUGCCCGGUGCUGGAAGGUUAAUUGAUGGGGUUAGCGUAAGCGAAGCUCCUGAUCGAAGCCCCAGUAAACGGCGGCCGUAACUAUAACGGUCCUAAGGUAGCGAAAUUCCUUGUCGGGUAAGUUCCGACCUGCACGAAUGGCGUAAUGAUGGCCAGGCUGUCUCCACCCGAGACUCAGUGAAAUUGAACUCGCUGUGAAGAUGCAGUGUACCCGCGGCAAGACGGAAAGACCCCGUGAACCUUUACUAUAGCUUGACACUGAACAUUGAGCCUUGAUGUGUAGGAUAGGUGGGAGGCUUUGAAGUGUGGACGCCAGUCUGCAUGGAGCCAACCUUGAAAUACCACCCUUUAACGUUUGAUGUUCUAACCUAGGCCCAUAAACUGGGUCGGGGACCGUGUCUGGUGGGUAGUUUGACUGGGGCGGUCUCCUCCUAAAGAGUAACGGAGGAGCACGAAGGUUGGCUAAGCAUGGUCGGACAUCAUGCGGUUAGUGCAAAGGCAUAAGCCAGCUUGACUGCGAGAGUGACGGCUCGAGCAGGUACGAAAGUAGGUCUUAGUGAUCCGGUGGUUCUGAAUGGAAGGGCCAUCGCUCAACGGAUAAAAGGUACUCCGGGGAUAACAGGCUGAUACCGCCCAAGAGUUCAUAUCGACGGCGGUGUUUGGCACCUCGAUGUCGGCUCAUCACAUCCUGGGGCUGAAGUAGGUCCCAAGGGUAUGGCUGUUCGCCAUUUAAAGUGGUACGCGAGCUGGGUUUAGAACGUCGUGAGACAGUUCGGUCCCUAUCUGCCGUGGGCGUUGGAAGAUUGAGAGGGGUUGCUCCUAGUACGAGAGGACCGGAGUGAACGCACCACUGGUGUUCGGGUUGUCAUGCCAAUGGCAUUGCCCGGUAGCUAAGUGCGGAAGAGAUAACCGCUGAAAGCAUCUAAGCGGGAAACUUGCCUCGAGAUGAGUCUUCCCUGUCGCUUUAAGCGACCUAAAGGAACGUUUAAGACUAAGACGUUGAUAGGCUGGGUGUGUAAGCGUAG
rnacentral:rRNA from 1 species